ensembl:lncRNA
AUCGCGGAAGGCGGAGGGCUGAGCCCCAGCGCCCCCAGCUCCUCGCCCCAAGUCCCAGUGACCCGCACUGUGGCCCUGGGGAAAGUCUCCUGGCAGGAGAGCCAAGGUCCUUGGUGCAGUUGUGGCACCACAGAAAGAAGCCACCUGAAUUCCUUGGCUUGUGGCUCCUUCCUCCAUCUUCAAAACCAACAACAGCAGAUCAAGUCCUUCAUAUUGCAUCCUCUGACCUCCUGCUAUGCUUUUCAAACUUUUUUAUUAGCAAAAUACAAUAUUUAAUGGAUUUGUGCUUAGCAUGCCUAAGAUUAUUUGACCAUAAGGAAGGUCUUAAAGGACUAAGGAAAAGUAGGAUGACAGUUAAAUUGCCUAUUUGAACAGUACUACAAUAAAGAAGGAAAACUGAG